AACGAACGCUGGCGGCAUGCCUAACACAUGCGAGUCGAACGAGACCUUCGGGUCUAGUGGCGCACGGGUGCGUAACGCGUGGGAACCUGCCCUUAGGUUCGGAAUAACUCCCCGAAAGGGGUGCUAAUACCGGAUAAUGUCUUCGGACCAAAGAUUUAUCGCCUUUGGAUGGGCCCGCGUUGGAUUAGCUAGUUGGUAGGGUAAAAGCCUACCAAGGCUACGAUCCAUAGCUGGUCUGAGAGGAUGAUCAGCCACACUGGGACUGAGACACGGCCCAGACUCCUACGGGAGGCAGCAGUGGGGAAUAUUGGACAAUGGGCGAAAGCCUGAUCCAGCAAUGCCGCGUGAGUGAUGAAGGCCUUAGGGUUGUAAAGCUCUUUUACCCGGGAUGAUAAUGACAGUACCGGGAGAAUAAGCACCGGCUAACUCCGUG
rnacentral:rRNA from 1 species